rnacentral:rRNA from 1 species
UACAGAGGGGGCAAGCGUUGUUCGGAAUUACUGGGCGUAAAGGGCGCGUAGGCGGCCUGUUAAGUCGAACGUGAAAUCCCCGGGCUCAACCCGGGAACUGCGUCCGAUACUGGCAGGCUUGAAUCCGGGAGAGGGAUGCGGAAUUCCAGGUGUAGCGGUGAAAUGCGCAGAUAUCAGGAGGAACACCGAUGGCGAAGGCAGUGUUCUGGGCCAGUACUGACGCUGAGGAGCGAAAGCGUGGGGAGCAAACAGG